rnacentral:rRNA from 1 species
UACGUAGGGUGCGAGCGUUGUCCGGAAUUAUUGGGCGUAAAGAGCUCGUAGGCGGUUUUUCGCGUCUGCCGUGAAAGUCCGGGGCUCAACUCCGGAUCUGCGGUGGGUACGGGCAGACUAGAGUGAUGUAGGGGAGACUGGAAUUCCUGGUGUAGCGGUGAAAUGCGCAGAUAUCAGGAAGAACACCCGUGGCUAAGGCGGCCCUCUAGUACGGUACUGACGCUGAGACGCGAAAGCGUGGGGAGCGAACAGG